UACGGGGGGGGUAAGCGUUGUUCGGAAUUACUGGGCGUAAAGGGCUCGUAGGCGGCCAACUAAGUCAUACGUGAAAUCCCUCAGCUUAACUGGGGAACUGCGUGUGAUACUGGAUGGCUUGGAUGUGGGAGAGGGAUGCGGAAUUCCAGGUGUAGCGGUGAAAUGCGUAGAUAUCGGAAGGAACAUCAGUGGCGAAAGCGACUUCCUGGACCAGUACCGACGGUCAGGCACGAAAGCGUGGGGAGCAAACAGG
rnacentral:rRNA from 1 species